rnacentral:rRNA from 1 species
AUGCACGCUGGCGGCGUGCCUCAUCCCUGCCAGUCGAGCGAACGGACGAGAAGCUUGCUUCUCUGAUGUUAGCGGCGGACGGGUGAGUAACACGUGGAUAACCUACCUAUAAGACUGGGAUAACUUCGGGAAACCGGAGCUAAUACCGGAUGAUAUUUUGAACCGCAUGGUUCAAAAGUGAAAGACGGUCUUGCUGUCACUUAUAGAUGGAUCCGCGCUGCAUUAGCUAGUUGGUAAGGUAACGGCUUACCAAGGAAACGAUGCAUAGCCGACCUGAGAGGGUGAUCGGCCACACUGGAACUGAGACACGGUCCAGACUCCUACGGGAGGCAGCAGUAGGGAAUCUUCCGCAAUGGGCGAAAGCCUGACGGAGCAACGCCGCGUGAGUGAUGAAGGUCUUCGGAUCGUAAAACUCUGUUAUUAGGGAAGAACAUAUGUGUAAGUAACUGUGCACAUCUUGACGGUACCUAAUCAGAAAGCCACGGCUAACUACGUG